rnacentral:rRNA from 1 species
AUUGAACGCUGGCGGCAUGCUUUACACAUGCAAGUCGAACGGUAACAGGCCGCAAGGUGCUGACGAGUGGCGAACGGGUGAGUAGUGCAUCGGAACGUGCCCAGUCGUGGGGGAUAACUACUCGAAAGAGUAGCUAAUACCGCAUACGAUCUAUGGAUGAAAGCGGGGGACCGUAAGGCCUCGCGCGAUUGGAGCGGCCGAUGUCGGAUUAGGUAGUUGGUGGGGUAAAGGCUCACCAAGCCAACGAUCUGUAGCUGGUCUGAGAGGACGACCAGCCACACUGGGACUGAGACACGGCCCAGACUCCUACGGGAGGCAGCAGUGGGGAAUUUUGGACAAUGGGCGCAAGCCUGAUCCAGCAAUGCCGCGUGCAGGAAGAAGGCCUUCGGGUUGUAAACUGCUUUUGUACGGAACGAAACGGCUCUGGUUAAUACCCGGGGCUAAUGACGGUACCGUAAGAAUAAGCACCGGCUAACUACGUG